rnacentral:rRNA from 1 species
CGGCAGGCCUAACACAUGCAAGUCGAACGGUAACAGUCCCGCUUGCGGGAGCUGACGAGUGGCGCACGGGUGCGUAACACGUAUGCAACCUACCUUCAACUGGAGAAUAGCCCGAAGAAAUUCGGAUUAAUACUCCAUAAUAAUAGAAAUUCGCAUGUUUUUCUAUUUAAAACUUCGGUGGUUAAGGAUAGGCAUGCGUCCUAUUAGUUAGUUGGUAAGGUAACGGCUUACCAAGACAGCGAUAGGUAGGGGGCCUGAGAGGGUGAACCCCCACACUGGUACUGAGACACGGACCAGACUCCUACGGGAGGCAGCAGUGAGGAAUAUUGGUCAAUGGACGAAAGUCUGAACCAGCCAUCCCGCGUGCAGGACGAAUGCCCUAUGGGUUGUAAACUGCUUUUAUUUGGGAAGAAACCCCUUUACGUGUAAAGGGCUGACGGUACCAAACGAAUAAGGACCGGCUAACUCCGUGCCAGCAGCCGCGGUAAUACGGAGGGUCCAAGCGUUAUCCGGAUUUAUUAGGUUUAAAGGGUGUGCAGGCGGGAUAAUAAGUCAGUGGUGAAAUCCUACAGCUCAACUGUAGAACUGCCAUUGAAACUGUUAUUCUUGAGUACAAUUGAGGUAGGCGGAACGUGUCAUGUAGCGGUGAAAUGCAUAGAGAUGACACAGAACACCGAUUGCGAAGGCAGCUUACUAAAUUGUUACUGACGCUGAGACACGAAAGCGUGGGGAGCGAACAGGAUUAGAUACCCUGGUAGUCCACGCCGUAAACGAUGAUUACUCGUUGUGUGCGAUACAUUGUACGCGACUAAGCGAAAGCAUUAAGUAAUCCACCUGGGGAGUACGUUGGCAACAAUGAAACUCAAAGGAAUUGACGGGGGCCCGCACAAGCGGAGGAACAUGUGGUUUAAUUCGAUGAUACGCGAGGAACCUUACCUGGGCUUAAAUGUAGAACGCAUUAAUUAAGAAAUAUUCUUUUCCUUCGGGACUAUUUACAAGGUGCUGCAUGGUUGUCGUCAGCUCGUGCCGUGAGGUGUCGGGUUAAGUCCCAUAACGAGCGCAACCCCUAUUCUUAGUUGCCAGCGGGUCAUGCCGGGGACUCUAGGAAAACUGCCAGCGUAAGCUGUGAGGAAGGUGGGGAUGACGUCAAAUCAGCACGGCCCUUACGUCUAGGGCUACACACGUGCUACAAUGGCCGGUACAGAGGGCAGCUACACAGCGAUGUGAUGCGAAUCUCCAAAGCCGGUCUCAGUUCGGAUCGAAGUCUGCAACUCGACUUCGUGAAGUUGGAUUCGCUAGUAAUCGUAUAUCAGCAAUGAUACGGUGAAUACGUUCCCGGGCCUUGUACACACCGCCCGUCAAACAAUGGAAGCUGAGGGUACCUGAAGUUUGUGAUCCGUCUUUGAUGGAAGCGACCUUAAGGUAAAAUUAGUGACUGGGGCUAAGUCG